rnacentral:tRNA from 1 species
CUGGGUGUAUUGUCAGUCCGGUCAGACGGCCCGCCUUGGAAGCGGGAGGACGCAGGUUCAAAUCCUGCCGCCCAGACCA